AGAUUUUAAGUUAAAAAAAACUAUAUACCUUCAAAGUAUAAAAUAAUUAAUAAAAAUUAAAUCUU
rnacentral:tRNA from 1 species